rnacentral:tRNA from 1 species
GGGCCGGUCGUCUAGCCCGGUAGGAUGCCUCCCUCGCACGGAGGAGGUCCCGGGUUCAAAUCCCGGCCGGUCCACCA